GGCAUUAUGGCUGAGUUUAGGCGGUAAACUGUAAAUUUAUGGACGAGAGUUUCUCUUUUGCC
rnacentral:tRNA from 1 species